rnacentral:rRNA from 1 species
CUACGGGUCGCUCCAGUGGGGAAUCUUAGACAAUGGGCGCAAGCCUGAUCUAGCCAUGCCGCGUGAGCGAUGAAGGCCUUAGGGUUGUAAAGCUCUUUCAGUGGGGAAGAUAAUGACUGUACCCACAGAAGAAGCCCCGGCUAACUCCGUGCCAGCAGCCGCGGUAAUACGGAGGGGGCUAGCGUUGUUCGGAAUUACUGGGCGUAAAGCGCACGUAGGCGGACUGGAAAGUCAGGGGUGAAAUCCCGGGGCUCAACCCCGGAACUGCCUUUGAAACUCCCGGUCUUGAGGUCGUGAGAGGUGAGUGGAAUUCCGAGUGUAGAGGUGAAAUUCGUAGAUAUUCGGAGGAACACCAGUGGCGAAGGCGGCUCACUGGCACGAUACUGACGCUGAGGUGCGAAAGCGUGGGGAGCAAGCAGGAUUAGAUACCCCAGUAGUC